rnacentral:rRNA from 1 species
AACGAACGCUGGCGGCAGGCCUAACACAUGCAAGUCGAGCGCCCCGCAAGGGGAGCGGCGGACGGGUGAGUAACGCGUGGGAACGUACCCUUUGCUACGGAAUAGCCUCGGGAAACUGGGAGUAAUACCGUAUGUGUCCUUCGGGAGAAAGAUUUAUCGGCAAGGGAUCGGCCCGCGUUGGAUUAGGUAGUUGGUGGGGUAAUGGCCUACCAAGCCGACGAUCCAUAGCUGGUUUGAGAGGAUGAUCAGCCACACUGGGACUGAGACACGGCCCAGACUCCUACGGGAGGCAGGAGUGGGGAAUCUUAGACAAUGGGCGCAAGCCUGAUCUAGCCAUGCCGCGUGAGCGAUGAAGGCCUUAGGGUUGUAAAGCUCUUUCAGGGGGGAAGAUAAUGACUGUACCCCCAGAAGAAGCCCCGGCUAACUCCGUG